UCUUCAGUGGCCUAGUGGUUAGAGCGUCCGCCUCGGAUGCUAGAGGUCGCGGAUUCGAUCCCCGCCUGAGUCAAA